UGUGAAACUCCCAUUGAUUGAUCUGCACACACUCCCCGCUGACCAGAGAAAACACUCGAUAGCGAAUGCGAGAGGGGAUUUAAAUUUGACAAAUAUUGCCCUCGUUCCUUGACGGGAAAGGUAGCUAUCUGUGUUCUCGUGCGGUCCGAGGUAACCUGCUCCUACCGUUGUCUAAAGACUAGCCUAACAUCGAGACAGUGCGACGUUAGCUAGCUCGUAAUGUCGGCACUGUUGGACUUGUUUUCCCCUCUAGACCCCGCUUCCUGUUAGCUCUGGGCUAGCUGGAAAAAUCGAAAUUAUGCUAAUGAACGAGCAGGUAUAGUUAACCAACGCAGAGGGGGGUAACUUUACUACAUAUCAUAUACCAACCGUCGUAAUUUAGUUGGAGUUUAUCCACAAAUAUAUGCUAAUAACUUUGUUUCUCAGCCAGCUAUCAGGGCUGCUGGUUUGCUAACCUACGACAUCAAGCCAUCUUGUGUUGAGGGGUUUAAGUAUUUAACUUAACGAGCUUCUGGUGGCAGAGAGCGAGUGAUAUUAACUUUAGUUGCUCGUUAAUAAAUGCGUCGGUAACGGGCUCGUUCCUAUAGGACUUAAAAAUACUUUAUUUCACUGUGGAGACCCUGACAGUAGACAAUAGAAAACCCGAGACUUGCUCAGCUGUUGUUCUGGGUAACGACGAAAACUUCCAGAAAAUUGUAUUUUGAUAAUUUUUUUGUUAUAUUAGUACAAUAUAUUUUUUUAAUACUUGUGUACGUUCGUAAGUGGUGAAAUAAAAUAACGGUUAAGGAGGGCAGUGAAUGGAUUCGGUGCAGAUGGUGCUCGUGCGACAUAUGAGGGCUGUUUUCAGGUGUCUCGUCUCAUUAUAUUAAAAACAAACGGCUUUAAAUGCCUCAGAAAACACUCGCAGUAGCCGGUGUUCAUCAGAGGUAACUAGGUGGACAGAGAGACGCGUAGAAGCGGUAGAAUAGGGAGGCUCCUGCCCGUUUCUCUCUCCAGCCUACGUCCAUCCACCACCGCCGCCCUCCACAGAUAUGGACCCCCCGAGGACUCGGUCGCGGUCUCGCUCCGGUUUCUAUCAUUUCGGCAUGAGCGGCAACGUUGGAAGCAGCGGCAACGCGCUGGGUAACGGGAGCAUGAUGACCGCCAGCGGAGGAGGAGGGCUGAGCUACGCGCAGCAGAGCAACCCCGGCUGGGCGCCGCACCACCACCACCACCACCACGGUGGUCGGAGCUACCCGGAGAGCCAGCAGCAGCAGCAGCAGCAGCAGCAGCAGCAGCACGCCCAGGGGGGCUACCUAUCCGCGGGGGUGCAGCGCCACCCUUCGCACGGAGCUCACAGACACCCCGGGGCCGGAGGACUGCUUCAUUUUCAUCCAGAUAAUGUUUGCAGCGACGACCGGGACAAGAUGGAAGACAGCCCGAGCCCGAAAAGGCAGCGUCUUUCCCAGCAGGCCAUGUUGGAUCUAAACUCCGCCCCUCCCUCCACUCCUUCCUCUCCCAUUCGCCCCUGGGAGUUGCCUCCCAGUCGCAGACCACACCCCCACUACAUGCCAGAGAGAUGCCACACGCCUGUUCGCAACCGACGCAGCCCUCCAAUGAGACGCCAGCGUGGCCGGAGAGACCGUCUGAUCCGCCACCACCACCACCAUGCCCACAACAACCACCACCACUACAACAACAGCAACAACAACAACCACCACCACCACCACCACCCCAACGCCCACCUCCAUCAUCACCACCAGCACCACCUGCACUCCCACCACGGCUCGUCGCCAGGCCACCAGGACGAGAAUUACCGUCACCCGGCUCCCCCUCAGGGCUACUCACCCUUCAGCCAGCAACCUCCCCGAGGGCUGGGGCCCGGGCUUGAAGAGCGCCCAGGUCACCAUCCCCCAAAUCCCUCACCGAGGCCCCUCCACCAGUCACCCAACCUGUCUCCCAGGCUGCUGCACCCUGUGGCCCAUCCACAGCACCCACAUCCACACCCCCACCCGUCCCAGCAGAGCAGCGUGGUGCUGGACCUCCAUGAGCAGGGUUCGGCUCCGGUAUCAUAUCCCGUGUCUCCUCCGGGAGCGCCACCAGGCCUGCCGCCUCGCUCCACUCCUCAGCAGAUCCCAGCAUGCUCGGUAGUCUUCAGUGGACAGCACUACCCCGUCUGCAGUGUCCCUCCCGUCCUGCAGACUUGUUCUGUGCAGCACUUACCCAUACCCUACCCGUUCCCAUCGUUGCUGUCCAGUGACCCCACCUUCCUGCUCCCCCCUCCUCACCUCCCCCACCCCCCAGCACACCUUUCCCACCACCCACCUCACCUGCCACAGCCCGGACAAUUUGGACCCUAUCCGACGCAGCAGUCCCGAUCGCCGCUACAGAGGAUAGAGAACGACGUGGAGCUCCUUGGAGAGCACCUGUCUCUGGGUGCUGGGCUCCACUAUCCUCCUGCCGCCCACCCGGCCCUCACACCACACUCCGCCCAGCUCCACUUUCUCUCCCAUGACCCCCUUCCACAGGAGUUCUUCGGAGUGUCCUAUCCAAACUUUAUUCCUCGGCGUCUGCCGGGGCGACGGUACCGAUCACAGCAGCCACUGCCACCUUCGCCUUACCACCCCAGCCUCCUGCCUUACUUCCUUUCAAUGCUGCCAGUCCAGCCCACAGGACCUGCGAUCAGUCUAGAGCUGGAUGUAGACGAUGGAGAAGUGGAAAAUUAUGAGGCCCUCCUGAACCUCGCUGAACGUCUGGGAGAGGCAAAACUCCGAGGACUGACCAAGGGAGACAUCGAACAGCUUCCUUCCUAUCGGUUCAAUCCAAAUAACCAUCAGUCUGAACAAACACUGUGUGUGGUGUGUAUGAGUGAUUUUGAAUCCCGCCAACUGCUGCGAGUCCUGCCCUGCAGCCACGAGUUCCACGGGAAGUGUGUCGACAAGUGGCUAAGGGCCAACAGGACGUGUCCCAUUUGUCGGGCUGACGCCUCCGAGGUCCAGAGAGACUCAGAGUGACCACAUGAUGGAGCCAGAUGCUCCUAAAUGUCUGUCAAACACGCUCGGCACUCCCUGCUCCUGAUAUAUUGACCCACAUAUUUUGGUCUGGAGGUGCAGUGACUUCCAGCUGCCACUAGGCGGCGUUACUGUUCUUCUGGACUGCCAUCACGCCACAUCUGCCCAGGUUGUGCCCGUAUGUUCCCCUGAUACACUCUUUGGUUUGCAGGUUGACAGCAUAUCACAUUAUCACAAUUUAACUGCAGGUUGUUAUGCUUGUUAAACAGAACAUGCACAUUCGAGACAGUACACACACACACCCAACACCCCCCUCUCUGGGUUCAUCAUACUCUCGACUGCCACAUAUAUAUGUUACAGUCCUGUAAGUUACUCUGCAGCAUUCCUAAACAAUGUAGUGGAACUAUAAUAAAGACCGUAGUGGACAACUUCUGAACUUCAAGUAUUAUCAGUGAACAUUAAACCUACAAUGCAAUCUAAAUUAAUGUCUACAUACAGUUGGUCCUCCCCUCGCAGCACUCAUCUGUCUCUCCAUAGUCGAUGUGCAGCUGCGUUACAUGACUGCACACAGCUGUCUCUGUAGCAGCACGCACCUGUAGUUGUGUGCCUUCUGUUACUGUACGCACUAAUGCAGCAUCUACAGUCCAAACGGCAGAUGUCAACUCAAGGCUCUGCCGGAUAAAUGGCCACAUUUUUUGCGAGCAACUUGCGUGGUGCUGCUUGAGGCGCAGACAACACAAAUGUCAUUGUUCUUCACUGAGGAGCAUUUACACAGCUUGUUAAGGAACAAUGUGAGAGCGAGGGCACAAGCACCACGGAACGGUUUUCAUUUUCUGUACAUUGAGUCGGUCCCACUGACCUGCAGUGACUUCUGUUAUGAAAGAAUAACAGAAGAGACACCUGUCCAAAGAAUGUUUUGUAGUUCUCGAAGUAAGAGCUUGUAUCAAAUCUUGGUUCACUCUCUGUGAUUGAGGAAGACCACCGGAACAAAAUAGACCAAGAUGAUGAAAAAAAGCUCUAAAAUACUGAACCUAGAGUUGUGGCUGUGCACAAAUGUGGUCACGGCUUCUUUAAUCCUGGUUUGCAGGUGUCACUUUGAGUUCUUUAAAUCCUAGGUCUGACUACUUGCAUUUGUUUUGUAGACACUUAUUUACUUUUAUAUAUUAUUGUUUACUUGAUCUGGACACUACACAUCUUGUACCAGAUGUGACUAAAAGCUCAUUUUAAUCUGUGGUCCCUGUGAAGAGGCCACAAGUGCUGCGCAGGUUACAGAGUUAAAAGAUCAAAAACCUAACACUUUGUAAAAACCAGAUACAAUAAAACACCAAUGGAAACCCGCAACCACCCCGAAACACAAUAUCAGCAAUCCCAAUACUAUCAACAAGAGACGAUUCAUCAGUACAAGAAAUGUCCAACCAGACGCUCAGUACCAGUGUCGGCCACAUACACUGUCUCUGCUGCUAUUUUUAUCACCUUCAUCUGUGUUACAGUGUUGUUGUGGUUGUAAACUGAAAAACAGUUGUCAAACCGCAUGUGACGCAGGUUCAUGCCAUCAACAUCACAAAGUCAGACUUUCUUUAUUUUUGAGUUCAUGUUUAAUUCAAGGAGAAACCUCUUGGCUGAGGACUGAUGACUCACUGUCCUCAUCCGUUUGCUUCCGUUCUCUUUUCAGUUCCCCGUCUUCCACUCCAUCAUCUCUCCCUUUUGCUCUUUUCCCUUUUUUUCUUCUUCUACGACUUCUGUCCGUUCCUUCAGUCUUUGCUCCCCUUCUCUCUCCUGCCCUCCUCCUGUCCCGUUUCUUCUCCUCUGCCUCACCACUCCGUCCUUCCUCUCCUCCUGUCUUUUUUACUUAUGCAUCUUCUAACCCGCCCUCGACCUCUCCGCUGUGAUCACCACCCACUCCUUUAACGCGCUUCCGCUGCAGAAUGGUGAAGUGGAAGUGAUGGGGAAUGUCUGCCUAAAACGGUCCGCACAGUUACUUCACUCAAAUUGGAACAAGUUGUAUUUGUCUCGUCUCGUCUUGCUUUUUCUUUCCCCCUCACCCAUCUUCAAUUUCAUAACCAGGGCUGUACGGGGCCACAAGUUGCCCAGGUUGUUUUAUGUCAGAUGAGCUCCUCUUCAUGUUGUAAAAAAGUGUGGAUGAGGAUCAUUUUCUCUUUCCACAUAAAUAGCCCACUGUUCAUUUAGUGAUAUUGCCACAAACCGCAUCAUCGGUAAAAACAUUCCAGAGUUGUAAAUGUAAACAUUCCAAAUGUUUUCCAUUUUCCGUAAUGUAUUCAGCUCCGACUUCCUCAGGGUCCUUCUACUCCAUAUGUAGCUGUGCUUUGGCCCAUUAUGUCUGUUUACAAUUCAUGGUUGCAUGCGAGUGUGCAUUUA